GUGUGUAGCUCAGUGGUAGAGCAUCUGCUAAGCAUGCUCAAGGCCUUGAGUUUGAUCCCCAGCACUACA
rnacentral:tRNA from 1 species